rnacentral:pre_miRNA from 1 species
CCAGUCACAUCCCCUUAUCACUUUUCCAGCCCAGCUUUGUGACUGUAAGUGUUGGACGGAGAACUGAUAAGGGUAGGUGACUGA